rnacentral:rRNA from 1 species
UUAGAGUUUGGUCCUGGCUCAGAUUGAACGCUGGCGGCAGGCUUAACACAUGCAAGUCGAGCGGAGAGAGGUAGCUUGCUACCGAUCUUAGCGGCGGACGGGUGAGUAAUGCUUAGGAAUCUGCCUAUUAGUGGGGGACAACAUUUCGAAAGGAAUGCUAAUACCGCAUACGUCCUACGGGAGAAAGCAGGGGAUCUUCGGACCUUGCGCUAAUAGAUGAGCCUAAGUCGGAUUAGCUAGUUGGUGGGGUAAAGGCCUACCAAGGCGACGAUCUGUAGCGGGUCUGAGAGGAUGAUCCGCCACACUGGGACUGAGACACGGCCCAGACUCCUACGGGAGGCAGCAGUGGGGAAUAUUGGACAAUGGGCGCAAGCCUGAUCCAGCCAUGCCGCGUGUGUGAAGAAGGCCUUAUGGUUGUAAAGCACUUUAAGCGAGGAGGAGGCUACUUUAGUUAAUACCUAGAGAUAGUGGACGUUACUCGCAGAAUAAGCACCGGCUAACUCUGUGCCAGCAGCCGCGGUAAUACAGAGGGUGCAAGCGUUAAUCGGAUUUACUGGGCGUAAAGCGCGCGUAGGCGGCUAAUUAAGUCAAAUGUGAAAUCCCCGAGCUUAACUUGGGAAUUGCAUUCGAUACUGGUUAGCUAGAGUGUGGGAGAGGAUGGUAGAAUUCCAGGUGUAGCGGUGAAAUGCGUAGAGAUCUGGAGGAAUACCGAUGGCGAAGGCAGCCAUCUGGCCUAACACUGACGCUGAGKSSRCSG